AGCGAACGCUAGCGGCGGGCCUAACACAUGCAAGUCGAGCGCGUCACUUCGGUGACGAGCGGCGGACGGGUGAGUAACACGUAGGUUAUCUGCCCUUUGGUGGGGAAUAACCCGGGGAAACCCGGGCUAAUACCGCAUAUGGUCUUCGGAUCAAAGCCUUCGGGCGCCAGAGGAUGAGCCUGCGUCGCAUUACCUAGUUGGUGGGGUAAAAGCCUACCAAGGGGACGAUGCGUAGCUGGUCUGAGAGGAUGAUCAGCCACACUGGGACUGAGACACGGCCCAGACUCCUACGGGAGGCUG
rnacentral:rRNA from 1 species